CAGCCGCCACGGGAACACGGAGGGAGCUAGCGUUGUUCGGAAUUACUGGGCGUAAAGCGCACGUAGGCGGUUAUUCAAGUCAGAGGUGAAAGCCCGGGGCUCAACCCCGGAACUGCCUUUGAAACUAGAUGACUGGAAUCUUGGAGAGGUCAGUGGAAUUCCGAGUGUAGAGGUGAAAUUCGUAGAUAUUCGGAAGAACACCAGUGGCGAAGGCGACUGACUGGACAAGUAUUGACGCUGAGGUGCGAAAGCGUGGGGAGCAAACAGGAUUAGAUACCCGCGUAGUCCCUGUCUCUUAUAA
rnacentral:rRNA from 1 species